rnacentral:lncRNA from 1 species
CAGACCCAUGCUUACUUAAACAGCGAAUACCAUGCUGCCAUGCAAACAUGUCUGCUACAUGGAGGCAGGCUGUCUUAUCUACUUCAAGAUCGGCAGAAUGGCCCAUUUACCACCUGGAAGCCCUGAAUGAGAUUUUGGGACAGAUGUUUCUACUACACUUGCUCCCAAGCAGGUUUUCAAUUCACAAUACUGCAAAUAGUUGUGCAAGAAGAAAACCAGACACUUACAAUUGCAUGUCCCGUAGCUAAUAGUUAGGCUUGACUCUUCUUGGUAGAUUAAUGGCUUUUAUACACCUUAGCGUCUCCCACAUGAGUUAACCGAAACUAGAAGAACACAUUCCAACCCCUGGUGUUCACUGACUCUCUGACACAGGACACCCUUGCUGCCUGGGCAUGUUACAGUCAUAAACACGUUAUCAUUAUAUUCAUCAAUGCCGUUGUGUAAUUUUCAGGAAAUAUCAUAAAAUACUUUGAUAUUUUCAACAAGCUAAAACAAUGCUCGAAACUCGAGAAGCUAAACUACGAUAUAAUUGAGUCCGACUGAGUUUACUUGAGUUUGGGUGCUCGUGACCAGUAUGGCACCUACCAGGUCAGGAGAAGGGUGUCCAAUCAGAGCAGAUUGAACCAGCAAAGAUCAUCCCAGCACUCUUUUCUCUAUUGCGAGAUGAGUCCCUUUAUCCAAAAUCUGUCACCUAACAGCCCUCCCCAUAAAAAAGAAAACCGGCAACUACAGCAAACCCACAUGCACAAUAGGUUCUCUUGUCUCCCAGGGACUAUUUUAUCCUGCCAACUUCCUGAACCUGCUGCGAUCGCCUACCAGAGUUAUACUAGGGCAGAUCGACGUACAGCCCUGAUGAUAAAACCUGCCAUUCCUUGUCUCCCUGACCCCCUCCUCUCCACUGUGGAUUAGAGAUGUGUUGCCUCAGGCCCUCCCUGCAUCCCAUCGGCAGCCUAUUUUUAACACAGGUGCUAUUUUCUUCUGCACCUUUCCUCAACACACUCCUCUCCAUCUUUAAAGGGUAAAGGGCCCCUGGGGUGUAAUUUGGGACCUAAGCCGAAUUUGGCGGGAACGCGUGACCACACUGUGUUGCCGGAAGAUUAAUAUGCCCAUCAGCAGUGAAGUAAAGUCAAACAAUUCUCAUUACGCCGAAUGGUUCGGCCCGAUUCUUUUCCUGUUCUUUGUCUGCCACAUUUUCUCUGUGUGUCGUGGGGAGAGCAGCUUUCGGCAUCUCAUUUCAUGGAUCUUCGUUCCGCUUUUCCAGGGUGGAUCUGGGUCGGCCUAU